rnacentral:rRNA from 1 species
AUUGAACGCUGGCGGCAGGCCUAACACAUGCAAGUCGAGCGGAUGAUGGGAGCUUGCUCCUGGAUUCAGCGGCGGACGGGUGAGUAAUGCCUAGGAAUCUGCCUGGUAGUGGGGGACAACGUUUCGAAAGGAACGCUAAUACCGCAUACGUCCUACGGGAGAAAGCAGGGGACCUUCGGGCCUUGCGCUAUCAGAUGAGCCUAGGUGGGAUUAGGGUGUUGGUGAGGUAAUGGCUCACCAAGGCGACGAUCCGUAACUGGUCUGAGAGGAUGGUCAGUCACACGGGAACUGAGGCACGGUCCAGACUCCUACGGGAGGCAGCAGUGGGGAAUAUUGGACAAUGGGCGAAAGCCUGAUCCAGCCAUGCCGCGUGUGUGAAGAAGGUCUUCGGAUUGUAAAGCACUUUAAGUUGGGAGGAAGGGUUGUAGAUUAAUACUCUGCAAUUUUGACGUUACCGACAGAAUAAGCACCGGCUAACUCUGUGCCAGCCGCCGCGGUAACAC